rnacentral:pre_miRNA from 1 species
UAAAUACUCCCUCCGUCCGAAAAUACUUGUCAUCAAAAUGGAUAAAAGGAAAUGUAUCUAGACGUAUUUUAGUUUUAGAUACAUCUCUUUUUAUCCAUUUUGAUGACAAGUAUUUUCGGACGGAGGGAGUAGAAA